AUACGAAAGGUGCAAGCGUUGUUCGGAUUUACUGGGCGUAAAGCGCGCGUAGGCGGCUAAUUAAGUCAAAUGUGAAAUCCCCGAGCUUAACUUGGGAAUUGCAUUCGAUACUGGUUAGCUAGAGUGUGGGAGAGGAUGGUAGAAUUCCAGGUGUAGCGGUGAAAUGCGUAGAGAUCUGGAGGAAUACCGAUGGCGAAGGCAGCCAUCUGGCCUAACACUGACGCUGAGGUGCGAAAGCAUGGGGAGCAAACAGGAUUAGAGACCCGAGUAGUCC
rnacentral:rRNA from 1 species